rnacentral:rRNA from 1 species
CCUACGGGAGGCAGCAGUGGGGAAUAUUGGGCAAUGGGCGCAAGCCUGACCCAGCAACGCCGCGUGAAGGAAGAAGGCUUUCGGGUUGUAAACUUCUUUUAAGAGGGAAGAGCAGAAGACGGUACCUCUUGAAUAAGCCACGGCUAACUACGUGCCAGCAGCAGCGGUAAUACGUAGGUGGCAAGCGUUGUCCGGAUUUACUGGGUGUAAAGGGCGUGUAGCCGGGCUGACAAGUCAGAUGUGAAAUCCGGGGGCUUAACCCCCGAACUGCAUUUGAAACGGUUGGUCGUGAGUAUCGGAGAGGCAAGCGGAAGUCCUGGUGUAGCGGGGAAAUGCGUAGAUAUUAGGAGGAAGACAAGUGGCGAAGGCGGCCUGCUGGACGACAACUGACGGUGAGGCGCGAAAGCGUGGGGAGCAAACAGGAUUAGAUACCCGAGUAGUC